AGCAAUUAAUGGCUCGGUGGCAGUGUCUCGCCUGACACCAAGUCGUUUCUUUGCUUU
rnacentral:pre_miRNA from 1 species